ACAUAACUAAUCUCUAUUGCUGGUUGGUAGAGAUGAAAUCGGCUCUUUGAGGGAAAAGUUGCCAUUGGUCCUCAUAUACUUGGCUUUUUUAUCCUCCAGAACACCCCACUAUGGAAAUAUGAUUGGCUUUACUUAUCUAAAUCCAAGCCUUUCACUGGUUAGACAUAUUUUACAAUGGACCGCCUAUUUUCGACACUGGCUGGAAGCUUCCUUGUCACUCCUAAGGAUGGAAAUGGACUGUUUGUGAAAACACGUGCCAUUUCUACACACUCGUUGGAUGGUUCUGGCCGUGACUCGUAUUUGAAAUAAGGAGUUACUAGCUAUGUAGUAGUGUGCUGGGGAUAGAAUGCGAUACGAGUUAAAUACACAAGAUCGAUUUGUUUGUGGUGGAGGGCAAUGGCGCGGUGUACAUGUUUGUAGGACGUCAGCGGGCAAGUUGGUUUACGUAACCGGAAACAUGUGCAGUCUCAAGUGUAUCCAAGCAGGGACGGAACAACAAGGAUGGAAUGGAGAGGCAUGGUAGCCAGAGGUGGCGGUCUAUGGUAAGGUCAAUGUGGAGACUACUGCCCUUCUGGAGUCACUGAACUCAUGUCAUAGUUCAAACAUCACACUGUGCACUGAAAUAGUCUUUAUGUUCUUACACAACUGGCACCACCAGUAGAAGGAUCAAGUAGUGAUAGUCUUGUAAAUAAUACCUCAAGGACUAAAUACAUAUACAUUGGCAAAAAAUAACAUGACUAAGGCAAACCCUUGUUGAUUGACCUUUUUUUUUUUUUUUUUAAAUAAGUAAAACAAAGAUGCUUUUAGUAUAAACAGUGCUCAUCCACUUUUAUUUCAAAGCUGUGUAAUCCAUCAAACCAAAUGGGAAAGAAAUGACAUGAAUGGUCCAUUAACUACAAAA